CGGACGGGUGAGUAAUGUCUGGGAAACUGCCCGAUGGAGGGGGAUAACUACUGGAAACGGUAGCUAAUACCGCAUAACGUCGCAAGACCAAAGAGGGGGACCUUAGGGCCUCUUGCCACCGGAUGUGCCCAGAUGGGAUUAGCUAGUAGGUGGGGUAAUGGCUCACCUAGGCGACGAUCCCUAGCUGGUCUGAGAGGAUGACCAGCCACACUGGAACUGAGACACGGUCCAG
rnacentral:rRNA from 1 species